rnacentral:tRNA from 1 species
GCCCCCGUAGCUCAGCUGGAAGAGCGGCGCUCUCGUAAAGCGCGGGUCGCGGGUUCGAAUCCUGCCGGGGGCU